AGUUUGGCCUUUUGUUGCCAGCAUACUUCAGUGGAUUCGAUUUCCCAGUGAUGUCCCAGCUAACAAUUCUAGGGGGAGAGAGACUUUUCCUUGGACUGCUGCUGGCCUGUGUUACCAUGGCACUGACCAGUAAGGGUGCAGUCAAGCGGUAAGGUGAAAGAGAAGGUGAAGAUAGAGGCCCUGGAUCUUUGUCUGAAGUAUGGCUUUGUGACUCCUCUCAUCUCCAUGGUGGUCACCAAGCCCCAGGGAGAAGCCUCACAGGUGGCCCACAAGCCCAAGAAGGGGGAGAACCCCACCAUGAGCCACCACCACGGAGUCCCCGGUUGAAGUGGUUGGUGGAGAGAACGAGGUCAUCUGCAAAGUCCAAGUCUUCCAGCUGGGUGAACAGGGCCCACUGGAUGCCUCUGGGUUUAUGGGAUGUGGUUUGGGUUAUGAUUCAGUGGUAAGGAGGAAGAGGAUAGGAGAGAUGAUGCACCUUUGUCUCAAUGCAGAGAUGGUAUUACCUAUGAAGACUCAGCAUUCAAAGUGUUCAAAUAAUUGUCCUAUGAUUGUACUCUUAGAAAAGAAUAUGCUAUCUAGAACCUAAAAGGGUUCUUCAGCUGUCUCCAUAGGAUAACCCAUUUUAAGAACCCUUUUUGGUUCCAGGUAGAACCCUGUUGGUUCCCGUUGGAAACCUUUUUGGUUCCAUGUAGAACAUUUUCUACAGAGGGUUCUACAUGGAACCAAAAAGGGUUCUCCUAUAGGGAAAGCUGAAUAACUCUUUUGAAACCCUUUUUUCUAAGAGUGUAAUGAUCUUCGAUGGAAGCCCAUAGGCGCUCACUGUUUUGCAUAGGGUGUUCCUAUGUACACUAUUAAAAGCCUUUCUUGAAGUCAACAAAAUUGAUAAAAAGGGGUGUGUUCCAUUGUUCUAUAAUGUUUCACAGUGCAAAUCCUGGUCCAUACAUCCUCUUCCUUUCCAGAAUCCUUCCUCUUACCUGAGUGUCAUGUCAACAGCUGCUUCUAUGCAUUGAGGAAAACCUUGCUUGCUAUGAAUAGUAAGUUAAUUCCUCGCCAGUUAUCAUAGUUCUUGAGAGUGCCUUUUUGGGGGAAUUUUCACUGAGGCCUUUCGACCAUAUGGUGUCAUUCUACCAGGUGUUUUUAAUGAGGUCGGUCAGAACUUUAGUAGUUGUGAUGUCUCCCUUCACUUCUUUAACCUUGGUUUUGUAGGCUACCUGGGCUUGUUCCUGAAGCCUUGGUGAUCAGUAAUCCUACUUUCAGUUGUUUCCUUUAAUUUUCUAUGGAACGCCAUUUGGGUCUUUGUGUGUAAAGAAAAAAAGGUACACGUCAAAUAACACUUUGGCGCGUCAAAUACACUUUUUAAUAACAAAAUUAUAUUCUAGAAUGUGUGAAUUUGCAUCCGCAAGCCAAGUGCCACCACUACAGUAUAGAAGUAUAGAAACAGCGGCCACGAUGUGUUUACAAUACUACGAAUUUACGAAAGCGCCCAAAUGUCCAUUGAGAAAGCACAACGACUAUACCAUUUAGCUAAGAAUGACGAGAAUAAUCAAGACCAUAAACGUUAGGUAGUUAGAUGUAUAACUACUAACGUUAGGUAGCUAGCUAACAUACCGGUACAUACUGCUGUAAUGAUAUGCUAUGUAGUUCGUAAGGACAGCGUAGCUAACAAAUUGUCAGCCAACAUACCGUGCAAAGUAACUUAUUUGAAAAGUUAUUACUUUAUUACAUUGAGUAGCAAGCUACCCCUUGGUCAUUAGGGCAAAUCUGGUCUGUGAUAGGAGGUUUUUUUUCACACCUAGCUCGGCUAUUAGACUAUUCUUUAGUAAAGGUUGAAUAGUCUAUUCAGCUAUUAGCCCUCACCAACUUGCAAAAAAUUGUUGUUCCCAUCUCAUUCCUUUCCUUCUUCCAUGUGUCAUCAUUCUACUCCUGAGUAGCUCGCUUGUGGGCGUGCUGGCAGGAUAUGGCAGCAUCUUCGGUUGUGCAUCAAGAAUUCUGAAUACUGUAGCACGUUUGUAUGAAGGUGUGGUUAUUCACAGGCAAAUUGUUAUAUGCUAUGAAGGUACAUUUGUGUCUUUUUGUCGAUCAAAAUUAUUAUAUAUUUUUUUUUUCAUUCAAAAAUAAUUGUUUUGAAAGCAACUUUUUUCAGACACAAAGGAAGUCAAAGCAGGCACCUACAAAGAUGGCAUCUCAGAGAGCGAGCUGACCAAGGGGUUGAAAAUGUAGAUAUUGCCAGAUGUUCACUGUCCGAGGAACAGGCCGUGGAAGCUUUAUUGCUGGCAAAAGUGUCCAUAACCAGAAGUUAUAUCAGCUGUUUUGGUGAACCCCUCCCGCAUCUGAACUGGCUG